CCUACGGGAGGCAGCAGUGGGGAAUAUUGGACAAUGGGCGAAAGCCUGAUCCAGCAAUGCCGCGUGAGUGAUGAAGGCCUUAGGGUUGUAAAGCUCUUUUACCAGGGAUGAUAAUGACAGUACCUGGAGAAUAAGCUCCGGCUAACUCCGUGCCAGCAGCCGCGGUAAUACGGAGGGAGCUAGCGUUGUUCGGAAUUACUGGGCGUAAAGCGUACGUAGGCGGUUAUUCAAGUCAGAGGUGAAAGCCCGGGGCUCAACCCCGGAACUGCCUUUGAAACUAGAUAGCUAGAAUCUUGGAGAGGUUAGUGGAAUUCCGAGUGUAGAGGUGAAAUUCGUAGAUAUUCGGAAGAACACCAGUGGCGAAGGCGACUAACUGGACAAGUAUUGACGCUGAGGUACGAAAGCGUGGGGAGCAAACAGGAUUAGAUACCCUGGUAGUCCACGCCGUAAACGAUGAUAACUAGUUGUUCGGGCACCUGGUGCCUGAGUGACGCAGCUAACGCAUUAAGUUAUCCGCCUGGGGAGUACGGUCGCAAGNUUAAAACUCAAAGGAAUUGACGGCUGAGAGNGCGAGACGACGACGAGGAGAG
rnacentral:rRNA from 1 species